UGUAUUUAUCAAGAACCUUAAUAGAAAGGUAGCAACCUGCAACAACAAGCAAGGUGCUAAAAAGAUAAGCCUUAACAAAGGAAAAAAUGUUGUCUUU
rnacentral:ncRNA from 2 species